UUAUUGUAGGUGAAGAGCGAUUAUAUGUUAGAGAUAGCUGAUCAAGUGGACCAGGACAUUGCUUUGAAGUUGGGUUGUCUAGAAAUACGGCGAUCAUACUGGGAGAUGCGGGGCAAUGCACUAGAAAAGAAGUCUAACUAUGAAGUAUUAGA